rnacentral:rRNA from 1 species
GACGAACGCUGGCGGCGUGCUUCACACAUGCAAGUCGAACGGAGUGGCGAACGGGUGAGUAACACGUGGGUUAUCUGCCUUGCACUUCGGGAUAAGCAUGGGAAACUUGGUCUAAUACCGGAUAGUGCAAGAUGUGCUCGCGGCCUAUCAGCUUGUUGGUGGGGUAAUGGCCUACCAAAUCGUCGACGGGUAGACGGCCUGAGAUGGUGUACGGCCACAGUGGGGCUGAGAUACGGCCCAGACACCUACGGGAGGCAGCAGUGGGGAAGAGUGCAAAAUGGGCGGAGGCAUGAUGAAGCGACGCCGGGGGGGGGAUGAAGGCCUUCGGGUUGUAAACUCCUGUCGACAGGGACGCGGUAACUGUAUAAGAAGCACCGGCUAACUACGUGCCAGCAGCCGCGGUAAUAC